rnacentral:tRNA from 1 species
CGCCGUGCGGACGGCGGGCGGCGACCUGGUCGGCCCAGGUCCGGCCGGGGGUGAGCCGGCCCGCACUCUCGCUCAGUACGACGCUGAGGCCGGCGUC